rnacentral:rRNA from 1 species
UACGUAGGGGGCAAGCGUUGUCCGGAUUUAUUGGGCGUAAAGCGCGUGUAGGCGGCCAGGUAGGUCCGCUGUGAAAACCCGAGGCUCAACCUCGGGACGUCGGCGGAAACCAUCUGGCUAGAGUCCGGAAGAGGAGAGUGGAAUUCCCGGUGUAGCGGUGAAAUGCGCAGAUAUCGGGAAGAACACCCGUGGCGAAGGCGGGUCUCUGGACAGUUCCUGACGCUGAGGCACGAAGGCCAGGGGAGCAAACGGG